UAAUGAAACCAAGAAAAGGAAGCCAUGCGCUAACAUGACUUCCUUCCAGUAGCACCGUUAAAAAGACGGCGGCCGAUUGUAUAGUGUAACCAUCAA
rnacentral:sRNA from 1 species